UCUUUCCCAGAGAAGUGUAACCUUGAUCCUUACCUGUCCAGCAUGGCUUUGGAUAAUGUAACACCCUGUAACACUCAUAUAUGAUUUCCACUUUUGCUUUAUUUGUGAUUCCUUACAGACCACUGAGUUUUAUGUUAGCCUCUGGCUUGUGCUACGGCUCUGGCAUAGGGAAUGUAUUGUAAGUGCUGUGACUGGAUCAUGAGCAGCAUUGUUUGCUAAAGGGUGUGUCACUGACUUCAUGAAGCAUUUCCUAAACUGCCGUUCAGGAAAAGAAAAACAUAUUUUAGAGAAUGAAGAGAAAAUGUUAUAAAGCGUUUAAAAAUAUAAAUAACAUCAUAUGAGGAAAUCUUUCUGAGGGAACAGGAUGGGCACGUAGGCGCUGAAACAGCCGGGCAGACGUUUCUGAGCAUAUGACUGACGAACGGUACAGUACGUUCGCUUACCGUCCGGAGACUCGUCAGAGUGGCAAGUUGGAGCUGUAGAAGAUAGAGAUGACUCAUGACUGGAGCUGUAUGUAAAUGAGGAACCUCUUCUCUUGCGUCCUAUGGUACCACUGAGGCUGCGUAAAGUUCACGGUGCCGUGACUCAUGUUUGUGCAUCUUGCUAGCAGAUAUAGCACAGCAUGACCAGUGCAGGUGACUGCAGAGAGCCAAAAGGUAUGAAAAGGUUGACAAACUUAGAAGGGAUUUGCCUUGCAUUAGAUAUGGUGUUUAAAAUCAGGAGGAUUUCGUUGAUUCCUGCACAGGUUUUGCUUGGGUAAGGACUUAGGAGCUGAAAUAAGAGAUGAAAAAAUAUCUACCUUGCUAGCCCAGAGCUCACAGAAGAGUGACUCUGUAAUUCUGUUCAGACAGAUGCAAGUAACUUCCCUCAAAUAAUUUCAGGGCCCAUAUCACUUUUUCUUGGUAUUCAGGAUGUUUCUUCUUACAUAUGAUUGUGUUCCUUUAUCUGUAGCUAUUAUCUGACGGAAACACUAUACAAAAUUUUUCUCAUCCAUGAUAGUCAACAUAAUUUGAUAAUGUUCAGUACAUUUAGUUUAUUUACUUUUGUCUCUUUUUUUCCCUUUCCUGAUUGAUUCAGACAUCCACCUGUGACAACCAGUCCUACCUAUUUUAACUCUGCGCUUGUUAGUAUUGCAGCUACAGAAUUAAUGUGUGCUUUAACUUCCAGAGAAGUCUGCAUUAUAUUUCCCAGGCAGGUGAUGCAUUGAUUCAACUCUCUUUUCUCACUGAGUUUAAAGGUCAGUCUUAUGAUGCUAAGAGUUCCUCCAUGAGUAAAGUCCUUCAUAUAUUUUAGCUUUUUUCAUCACCUGUUCUCUACAAGGUAAUGUCUGAUAAUUAUGCUCUUUUCAAUGGUGUAUAUUCUGUUCCAUUGAAGGUAGGACUUUUUUCUCAGCAGAAAGCUGACUCAUAAGGUAUGCUGCCUUCUAUCCUUAGAAAAAAGUGAGUCAUUAAUGGAUUUUUCAUUAUACAUUUAAGUACCAUAGACUGAAAUUUUGUCCUACCAGUUUAGCCCUGAGGCAGUUGUUUGGAAGUCUUUUUAAUUUAGUGUUUUAGUUAUGUCUCAGUGAGGCUCUGUGCAAUACAAUAGAUGCUGAACAAGGAGCUAUUUGAUAUUACAGGCUACGAGCAUUCCCAUUAUCUUCAGUAGUGCCAUGGCCUCACGCUUUGUGUGCUGUGUGCUUCCCUAGCUACAAACCCACAAAACUGUCUUUACACCUGUACCAUGAAACAUUCAGCAUCUAUUUUCACAAUCAAUUUACAGUUGUUUUUCCAGAGACGGGUGAAAGCUGAGAGGGGUGGGACAUAACUAAAACCAUAUGAAUCCCAUUGGUACUAUUGCAUUAAUAGAAAUAGUCCUUUUGUUUGGGCAACACUAAUUUGGUGAUCUUUCAGACACUCAGAGAAGAUUCACCAGUUCUCGCGGUGACUCGUGACAGAAAGCUAUUAUUUCUAUUUUAUAAACAAGGGCAUUAAGUUUGAUAGGGAGGCAAUGGAAGUAUUGUGGAUAGAAGCCAGGAGUCCUGGACAUUUUUUUUCCUAAUGCAACAAUAUUUUUCUUUCAAAGGUUUUGUUGUAUUUACAGGCACUGCUGUUUAACUUUGAGUGAUGUCAAUGUGAAUGAGCAUCUGGCAGAAUCUGUGUAGAGUUGCAAUAUAGUCUGCAAUUCACAGGAGGGUACCAGCUUUUGCCCAUCCUUUUUAUACUCUGUUAAACUAGCUCUGCAGGCUAUUUUGAGGGAGAAGGUCUGGCUCUCUAAUACUGACAGGAGCUGUUAUUUAAACCUGUAUGAUGCAAAUGCAAAAGGGAUGCUGUUAGGGUGGUUCUUUGUUCUCCACUACACAGAAGUGGAUAUGCUGCAAUGACAAGUUUGUAAAUCAUAGCUAGUUCCGUUCUCACACCACUCAAUAACAUUACAAUCUCUCUGUCAACUUCCUGAAGACCUUGGGAAGCUAUAAUUUGUGAUAAAAAUGGGAGUUGAAAUGUUACGUGCAUAUCAAAGCUGAAAAUUUGCGGCUGGCUGACCUUUUCAUUUUGAGCAAAUGCACUCAUUUCCUUUACGUUGCUUACUGUUUCCCUCUGGAUCUUGGCAUAAUAGGAAAUCCUCCAUGAUUGUUCUCCUUAAUCAGUGGCUCCAUUGUGCUGACUUCUGUUUCUUUCAGUGAGCAGGGCAGAGGAUCUCACCAUGCUCAUAAUGCGGCAUCGCUCUCUGUGCUGUCAAGCAUCAGUGCCCCAGAAACUCAGACAUUUCGGUGCAGCUGUCGUGGAUGAGAGAAUGCCACGAGUGGCGUGUGCUAAAUCCAGCGUGCUGUCAGAAUAAGGAAACAGCCCCCUGAUUUUCAGUUUAGAAAAAAAAAGAAAAAACAACACUCACUGGAUUUUACAGUGAUAUUUCUCAGUGUUUGUGAUUAGGCUGAGAUGAAUAAUGGAAAUGAAGAGUUUGUAAAUUUAGAUUUUGUUUCCUUUCCAUAUGCGGGGUAAUGUCAUUUCUUGUCAUGUCACUGCAAUGUUUGCAUAGUCAUCUGACAACUAUAAAGAAGGCAUAUGAAUCUUUAGGACAAAUAACUUCUCCAGAAUUAUCUACUUAAAUGUCUUCUAGUUAUGAAUAGCACAUUAUUUUUCAUUUUCUGAUGCAUUUAUCUUUGUCAUCCAGUCGAGGGACAGAAGUUCUGUGGUGCGACCGUACACCACAAACCACAGAUUGUAUACGCGCCUCUUGCUAAAGAUUAGGUAAGCAGUUAGAAGUAAAAGAUGCAUUGGAAUAGCUUAAAACAGUUGGUGAAAUAAAAGGAAGGGUAAAGUUGCCAAAAAAGGUUGUUUGUAUUGGUAACCUAUACUUCGUCAAGCAUAACGUAAACAAAAACAUAGUGACAGCCGGUGCUCAGGAAGAGCUGAUGGUUCACCAAGUCUUAUCUUUUGCUUCCUGUUGCAGCACAGUAAUGUUGACAUCAUGUUCCUGCACAUGCAGUAUGCAAAAAGAUCAGGGUUUGUAAUUCAGUGUUGGCACAAAUAAACAAUUUCUGCUUGUUGCUAUUGAUUUUCUGCUGUUCUGCUUUUCUUCAAUAAAGUUGAUGCCUGUGGGGAGCCAGGUAGUCAGUCAGUCUCUGCAGAUGUUUUGCUGUACAUCCAUUUUUUUCUUUCCUCUCUUAGUGCAUUCAAGCGCAGCUUGGAAUGAAAAACAGAGCGGUGUCUGGAGGACUCUAGUCAGUAGGUAAACCAUUCCUUAUGCAGAAAGUUCCCAGAGAAGAACGAGGGGGCUUGUACAGUUAACGACAAUGGAGUAACAACCCCAGGAUAUGGCUUCAUGCAUUUAUACCGGAGUCGAAUCUCUAGGGAAAUUAGGUUAGGGAAAUGAGGUUAGUGGCAGUGAUGAUGAUGAUAAUAAAUAAUGCAUACUCCCCUUGGAUCCUGGCUGACUAUCAAGACAGACUUCCUGAUGAUGAGAUGCAUAUGUCUGUCUCCAGUCUCUUCAAGGU